GGCGCCAUGGCCAAGCGGUAAGGCAGGGGCCUGCAAAGUCCCGAUACUCCGGUCCGAUUUCGGAUGGCGCCUCCA
rnacentral:tRNA from 1 species